rnacentral:rRNA from 1 species
AGAGUUUGAUCAUGGCUCAGAUUGAACGCUGGCGGCAGGCCUAACACAUGCAAGUCGAACGGUAACAGGAAGCAGCUUGCUGCUUCGCUGACGAGUGGCGGACGGGUGAGUAAUGUCUGGGAAGCUGCCUGAUGGAGGGGGAUAACUACUGGAAACGGUAGCUAAUACCGCAUAAUGUCGCAAGACCAAAGAGGGGGACCUUCGGGCCUCUUGCCAUCGGAUGUGCCCAGAUGGGAUUAGCUUGUUGGUGGGGUAACGGCUCACCAAGGCGACGAUCCCUAGCUGGUCUGAGAGGAUGACCAGCCACACUGGAACUGAGACACGGUCCAGACUCCUACGGGAGGCAGCAGUGGGGAAUAUUGCACAAUGGGCGCAAGCCUGAUGCAGCCAUGCCGCGUGUAUGAAGAAGGCCUUCGGGUUGUAAAGUACUUUCAGCGGGGAGGAAGGGAGUAAAGUUAAUACCUUUGCUCAUUGACGUUACCCGCAGAAGAAGCACCGGCUAACUCCGUGCCAGCAGCCGCGGUAAUACGGAGGGUGCAAGCGUUAAUCGGAAUUACUGGGCGUAAAGCGCACGCAGGCGGUUUGUUAAGUCAGAUGUGAAAUCCCCGGGCUCAACCUGGGAACUGCAUCUGAUACUGGCAAGCUUGAGUCUCGUAGAGGGGGGUAGAAUUCCAGGUGUAGCGGUGAAAUGCGUAGAGAUCUGGAGGAAUACCGGUGGCGAAGGCGGCCCCCUGGACGAAGACUGACGCUCAGGUGCGAAAGCGUGGGGAGCAAACAGGAUUAGAUACCCUGGUAGUCCACGCCGUAAACGAUGUCGACUUGGAGGUUGUGCCCUUGAGGCGUGGCUUCCGGAGCUAACGCGUUAAGUCGACCGCCUGGGGAGUACGGUCGCAAGGUUAAAACUCAAAUGAAUUGACGGGGGCCCGCACAAGCGGUGGAGCAUGUGGUUUAAUUCGAUGCAACGCGAAGAACCUUACCUGGUCUUGACAUCCACGGAAGUUUUCAGAGAUGAGAAUGUGCCUUCGGGAACCGUGAGACAGGUGCUGCAUGGCUGUCGUCAGCUCGUGUUGUGAAAUGUUGGGUUAAGUCCCGCAACGAGCGCAACCCUUAUCCUUUGUUGCCAGCGGUCCGGCCGGGAACUCAAAGGAGACUGCCAGUGAUAAACUGGAGGAAGGUGGGGAUGACGUCAAGUCAUCAUGGCCCUUACGACCAGGGCUACACACGUGCUACAAUGGCGCAUACAAAGAGAAGCGACCUCGCGAGAGCAAGCGGACCUCAUAAAGUGCGUCGUAGUCCGGAUUGGAGUCUGCAACUCGACUCCAUGAAGUCGGAAUCGCUAGUAAUCGUGGAUCAGAAUGCCACGGUGAAUACGUUCCCGGGCCUUGUACACACCGCCCGUCACACCAUGGGAGUGGGUUGCAAAAGAAGUAGGUAGCUUAACCUUCGGGAGGGCGCUUACCACUUUGUGAUUCAUGACUGGGGUGAAGUCGAAACAAGGUA